rnacentral:rRNA from 1 species
AACGAACGCUGGCGGCAGGCUUAACACAUGCAAGUCGAGCGUGAAGCAUCCUUCGGGAUGUGGAAAGCGGCGGACGGGUGAGUAACGCGUGGGAACCUACCUUUCGGUUCGGAAUAACUCGGGGGAAACUCAGGCUAAUACCGGAUACGCCCCUCACGGGGGAAAGAUUUAUUGCCGAAAGAUGGGCCCGCGUUGGAUUAGGUAGUUGGUGGGGUAAAAGCCUACCAAGCCGACGAUCCAUAGCUGUUCUGAGAGGAAGAUCAGCCACACUGGGACUGAGACACGGCCCAG